UACGUAGGGGGCAAGCGUUGUCCGGAAUUAUUGGGCGUAAAGCGCGCGCAGGCGGCCAUUUAAGUCUGAUGUGAAAGCCCACGGCUCAACCGUGGAGGGUCAUUGGAAACUGGAUGGCUUGAGUGCAGGAGAGGAAAGUGGAAUUCCACGUGUAGCGGUGAAAUGCGUAGAGAUGUGGAGGAACACCAGUGGCGAAGGCGACUUUCUGGCCUGUAACUGACGCUGAGGCGCGAAAGCGUGGGGAGCAAACAGG
rnacentral:rRNA from 1 species